CACAAGAUCAGUUCUGACCAAACCGAAACAUGAGUCUCAUGAACCAAUUCAGAAAAUGACCUAUUUUUCAGCCGAUCCGUAUUUUCACGUGUGUAAGUGAAAAGAGACACUACAAACAACUGUGGUUACACAAAAUUCAAGUUCCUUGUUUCAUAAGAAA